GGUUUCAUAGAGCAGUGGUUAGCACAUCUGCUUUACACGCAAAAGAUCCUGGGUUCGAGCCCCAGCAGAGCCA
rfam:Pteropus alecto contig22301, whole genome shotgun sequence.